AAGUAGUGGGAGAAGACGCUACAUCCAUGGUAGGCGUAUGCGCUGGUGAUGUGCUCUGCUUCUCUCCUCUGUGCUCAACACGAGAAUGACACUUCCAGCUCAGCAGGGAAAGUGUUAGCAUAUACAGUGAAUAAUGGUUACGUAAGUCCAAAUUAUUCAGUUUGGUGAUUCUGGCCAUAUAACUUAUGGUUACUGAUGUUGUCCAUUGUCAGGUCCCUUUCGAAGCUCCUUUUCUUUCUCUCUUUAUCCUCGAAGCAUGUCCAUUUUCAAUAUUGUCAAUGCUUUGUUUCAUGACCUGAAGCGGAGGUUUUUACACUGCAAUUCAGAUUGAUUUGGUUCAAGAUAGUAUUUGGGUUAUCAUUCCCGGCCCUUGCAAUUUUACGUUGGUAUUAUAAUUACAAUAUAGGAUUGGACGAUACAUUCUUUUAUGGUUUGAACAACCCGCCUCUUAACACUGGCAUGCUUAUUAAUACUUCCUUAGAAUAUUAUUUUUAUAAAUAAGGGUUGAUGCACAGAAUUUAUCAGCCUGGCUAACGGUUCUAUCGACAUGUAUUUUAUACAUUUAUUUGCGAGUUCAUAGUUUUGCAGUCAAAAGUUUGGAUUAGCAUUCCCCACAGCUUUUACAUUGGGAUUGUAAUCGCAGUAUAGGGAGCCGAGUUGUGCCUUUCGCCAAGUCUGCCAUGUUGAUGUGAUAUGUAAAUAUGUUUUCCAUAAUGUCAAGCAUAUAUUUUAUCUUACCGGAGGUUGGUUUCACAUUGUUUUUAAUGAAUGAGUUGCACAGGAUCAAAGAAUAUAAAAACAGAAGAACAAGGUCUAUAUUUGCAACAUACUCUCUUCUUACUUUAUUAUUGACAUAUUAAAGGAGAUAUUAAAUUCUUGUGCACUUUGUAAGGAACUGGGUGCUUUGAAGCAGUAGUAUAUUGAGCGCCACCAGGUAAUCAUCCUUAUUUUGGUCGUGGUUGAACUGCUGCUGCAUACGAAAAUAGUCAUAUUAUUUAGUACACAUUAAUUUGAUAUACAGUGGUUACUAUCUUUUAUCAAGAUUGUUUCUGCCUUCAAACAUUAUGUAUGUUCAUUACCAUGCUUCAUGGUGUUGUGGAGUAGUGUUUCAUAAGAUAUGUAAUGAUUCAUGAUUGUUUAUGUUUUAACUCUGCACUCAGAGAUAAAUGUUUUUUGGCAAUCGCUGAGAUAUAUGAUUUAAUUUCGCGUGGGGAGGAGAAGAGAAGAGAAAUAGGCAGAUAUAUGGGAAAAUUUCUAAAUACAUGCAUCUGGUGUGCCAUUGUUUUUUCAGAUUCUGAUCACCUGCCUCUUGUUACUGAAGCUUGAGGGAGAGGUUCAUCUUUCUGACUUUUGGCGCCCUACCGGGCCUCUUCGCCGGCUCUCCAUCCUCACUACACUGUCGCCUCCGUCUCCUUCUGCCUCUCCUACACCUCCCGAAACAAGCGAAUGAUAAUAUCAUUGCCUCACCUCCGGCCACGAAAAGGCCAUGGUGCUUAUCAUGCUUAUUGAUUUCUUCCUAUGCAUGCCAGUAAUAUGCAUCUGAUUGUUAUUUUUCAUUUCUAGAGGUCUAUGUUUCUUUGCUGCACAAAACCUAUUUAUAGAAGCUUGUCUCAUCUGAACAUUUGACUUAUUUGUGAGACAUUUCAUUAAUUAUAUUAUUUAAAUUUGUAGUGAUUGUAUAUACAGUUCUAUUUGGAAGAUGUGUUUUCUGUUUUUCUUUUGAUAUGUACCAGAUGAGAAAGUAUUUGUUAA